ACAGCAGCCGCCACGGUAAUACGGAGGGUGCAAGCGUUAAUCGGAAUUACUGGGCGUAAAGCGCACGCAGGCGGUCUGACAAGUCAGAUGUGAAAUCCCCGGGCUUAACCUGGGAACUGCAUUUGAAACUGUCAGGCUGGAGUCUUGUAGAGGGGGGUGGAAUUCCAGGUGUAGCGGUGAAAUGCGUAGAGAUCUGGAGGAAUACCGGUGGCGAAGGCGGCCCCCUGGACAAAGACUGACGCUCAGGUGCGAAAGCGUGGGGAGCAAACAGGAUUAGAGACCCGAGUAGUCCCUGUCUCUUAUAC
rnacentral:rRNA from 1 species